GGCUCUUUGUCUCCCCUCAUCCAGGUCACUAACUCUGCUUAUAGCUUUUCUAGUGCCUGAUAUAAGAGGCACGAGGUUCCCCUCACCUUCCUUUACUAUCCCUAAAGCUUUAUACAUGUGUCUUGGAGUUGUCUGAUACCCUAUGGAUACCUUCCAGCCCGACCGCCUCCACCUUGUGAGGAGAAUGAUGAUGCGUCACGAUGGAGCAUGAGAAGAACGAGCAGAAAUCCUACCAAGGCCUCACAGGGCUGAGACGACAUCUGCUUCUCCUCCUGCCGCAGGACAGACGACCAGACGACUAAAUGAAACUGGACUAUUCGUUUAAAUUAAGAGAAGAGCGGUGGCGGUAUCCUUCACUCAUAAAUAUAUUGUUAGGCUGCCUGCACAUGCGGCUCACUGCAACGUGCUUCAAAUAGCUUGUAGAGGCGCGGCCCAGCAAUUAGCAGUCAGCCCGAGGAUCCCGCUGCUGUCCCCACAUUGUGGACGGGUAGCCCAACAGGUCUGGACAAGAUGAUAUCAGUGACGUCAGCACCAGGCGGACAACUUCCCGUUCAUUGCAAUGAAAGCAGCAGCCACACAGUGACGUAACUAGAAAUAACAGGGCCUGCUCCGUCCGUCUCCUACGGUGUCUCUCUACAUAAUGUAAUUCUAUAAGCCUCAUGCACACCGCCGUUCUGUGCAUUGGGGACUGCAAUUUGCAGUCCCCAAUGCAUGGGGAACGUCCGUGCUGCACAAUACUUAAAAUUGCCUAAAUGAUACCGCUGCGCAGUGCUUAUAUAAUAGUACAAUAUGGUAAACAUAUAACUGAGGCACAAUUACACCAUCAAACAGCGGAAAUAUAAUAGUGCCGUACAGAACCUAGAUGAUACUGCUGUGCAGUACUUAUAUAAUAGUACUAUAUAGUGAACAAGUAAUUGAGGCACAAUAACACCAUGAAAUACUGCCAAUAUAAUAGUGCCAUACAUUACUUAACUAAUACCGCUGUGCAGUGCUCAUAUAAUAGUACCAGGAUCGGACUGGCCCACCGGGGAGGCGGGGGAUUCCUCUGUAAGCCCCCAGUCUCCUGCACCCGGAGAUAAGACGGAGGAGUAAUUAUUUCUCUUGUUUCUCAGGGGAUAUAAUUAUUGUAGCCACUAGGUGGCAGUAUCGCACAGCUAUGCAGCCUCCUACUGGUGUACAUUGUACAUGAAACCCUGCAGUUUCUUCUAAACUUUCCGGGCUGCUGGCAAUGAAGGAGGAGAGAACAUGUCUGGCCA